ACUUAUACGAUGUGGGGUCCAACCAACUCAUUUUUGGAUUAAAACAUAUCGAGUGAUCAACAAGGUUUAACUCCUAGAAUUUUUGAGCGUCUUUUUGCUUGGAUAAAUGAGAUUUACAACGAGCAAAUUACAGAUUUAUUGGAUCCUAAUCAAAGAAAUUUCCAGGUUGAGAAAUGGAUCCAGAAAGUGGAACGUGAAAUGUAGAAAGAAGAAGGUUUUGAAUCUUAAAAGAAAAUUUGAUUGCAACAUGAGUUAAAAGGAAGGUAGACAGAGAGAGAAGAUGCCUGUCCAGCAUUGUACAAGAUUUUGGUAAGCUUCCUUUAUGCUAUGACAAAUGCAUGUUCUCUAGUUGGUGGUAGCGAGAUAUUUAUGAUGGCCGUUGGUGGAUAAUGUCAGGUAAACACGGUUCGUCUCUUAUUCCUUAUUGCAUCUUAUAGAGUUU